GGGAAGAAGAGGCAUCUGGGCUCGACUUUAGGGAGGGAAGAGGCAUCUGGGCUCGGCUCGGCUUUAGGAGAUCAGCUCGUGGUUCGCAUCUGGUUCGCCUGGUUUGAGUUGGAUUGUAGAGGAGAGGAGAUGCGUAGGGAGAGAGAACAACUCCUUAUAUAACUGAGGUUUGGGUUUGGGUCUCUCCGUUGGGGUUUCUGCGUUUGGGGUUUGGGGGUUUCCUAGUAUGGGUCUCUCCAUUGGGGUUUCUGUGUUUGGGGUUUGGGGGUUUCCGAGUAUGGGUCUGAAAGUGAAGG